rnacentral:rRNA from 1 species
UAAUACCGCAUACGAUCUAUGGGAUGAAAGCGGGGACCGUAAGACCUCGCGCGAUUGGAGCGGCCGAUAUCAGAUUAGGUAGUUGGUGGGGUAAAGGCUCACCAAGCCAACGAUCUGUAGCUGGUCUGAGAGGACGACCAGCCACACUGGAACUGAGACACGGUCCAGACUCCUACGGGAGGCAGCAGGUGGGGAAUUUUGGACAAUGGACGCAAGUCUGAUCCAGCCAUUCCGCGUGCAGGAUGAAGGCCCUCGGGUUGUAAACUGCUUUUGUACGGAACGAAAAGGUUUGUCUUAAUACGAUGAGCUCAUGACGGUACCGUAAGAAUAAGCACCGGCUAACUACGUG